CAUGCAGUCGAGCGGAGCGAGGGUGCUUGCACCUUAGCUUAGCGGCGGACGGGUGAGUAAUGCUUAGGAAUCUGCCUAUUAGUGGGGGACAACAUUCCGAAAGGAAUGCUAAUACCGCAUACGCCCUACGGGGGAAAGCAGGGGAUCUUCGGACCUUGUGCUAAUAGAUGAGCCUAAGUCGGAUUAGCUAGUUGGUGGGGUAAAGGCCUACCAAGACGACGAUCUGUAGCGGGUCUGAGAGGAUGAUCCGCCACACUGGGACUGAGACACGGCCCAGACUCCUACGGGAGGCAGCAGUGGGGAAUAUUGGACAAUGGGCGCAAGCCUGAUCCAGCCAUGCCGCGUGUGUGAAGAAGGCCUUUUGGUUGUAAAGCACUUUAAGCGAGGAGGAGGCUACUCUAGUUAAUACCUAGGGAUAGUGGACGUUACUCGCAGAAUAAGCACCGGCUAACUCUGUGCCAGCAGCCGCGGUAAUACAGAGGGUGCGAGCGUUAAUCGGAUUUACUGGGCGUAAAGCGUGCGUAGGCGGCUGAUUAAGUCGGAUGUGAAAUCCCUGAGCUUAACUUAGGAAUUGCAUUCGAUACUGGUCAGCUAGAGUAUGGGAGAGGAUGGUAGAAUUCCAGGUGUAGCGGUGAAAUGCGUAGAGAUCUGGAGGAAUACCGAUGGCGAAGGCAGCCAUCUGGCCUAAUACUGACGCUGAGGUACGAAAGCAUGGGGAGCAAACAGGAUUAGAUACCCUGGUAGUCCAUGCCGUAAACGAUGUCUACUAGCCGUUGGGGCCCUUUGAGGCUUUAGUGGCGCAGCUAACGCGAUAAGUAGACCGCCUGGGGAGUACGGUCGCAAGACUAAAACUCAAAGGGAAUUGACGGG
rnacentral:rRNA from 1 species